CCUACGGGAGGCAGCAGUAAGGAAUAUUGGACAAUGGACGCAAGUCUGAUCCAGCCAUGCCGCGUGAAGGAUUAAGGCCCUCUGGGUUGUAAACUUCUUUUAUAGGGGACGAAAAAAGGGCUUUCUAGCUCGACUGACGGUACCCUAUGAAUAAGCACCGGCUAACUCCGUGCCAGCAGCCGCGGUAAUACGGAGGGUGCAAGCGUUAUCCGGAUUCACUGGGUUUAAAGGGUGCGUAGGCGGGCAUUUAAGUCAGUGGUGAAAUCUUCGAGCUCAACUCGGAAACUGCCAUUGAUACUAUUUGUCUUGAAUAUUGUGGAGGUGAGCGGAAUAUGUCAUGUAGCGGUGAAAUGCUUAGAUAUGACAUAGAACACCGAUUGCGAAGGCAGCUCGCUACACAAAUAUUGACGCUGAGGCACGAAAGCGUGGGGAUCAAACAGGAUUAGAUACCCUGGUAGUCCACGACCUAACUAUAGAUACUACGACAUUGUCGAUACACAGUAAGUAGUCGUGAGACGAAGAC
rnacentral:rRNA from 1 species